AUGACCGAAAUGAGUAAAAGAUUGUGUGUAAAUUUCAUAUUCUUGCAGCUGACUACGAGCGUAACCAGGAGGAGGAGAGGGAUCAAAGGUCACAAGUAACACAUGGUACAAAGCGGAAACGUGAGAGCAGCAGCGGAGGAGGAGGAGGCGGCGGCGGCAGCAGCAGUAGCCGCAACAAGCACUCAAAGAAGUCGAAGAAAUCCAGAAAAUAAGAGAGCGGUGGUGCGUGUGUUUUUUGGAUGCUGGUUUUCGGUCGUCCUGGUGGCAUGGUUAGGGGGUUUUGUUGGUGGGUGUGUGAGUGAGUUCCACCACUCGACCUGUGUGAGUGAGUGCCACCACUCGCCCUGUGCGAGUGGGGCUUACUCAAAUGUCGUAAUUACAAUGGGUGUUGCUCACUACUUCAACUCACACCAUCUCCAUCACUACCACCACUGCCACCACCACUACCACUACCACACUUGUAACCACCACCACUCCUACUACAACAACCACCACCACUACUACCACAGGUACAAUAACUAUCACUAAAGUUAUUACCAUCACUACUAUUAUUAUUGAUACUACUACUACAACUACUAAUACAGGUCCUACUGUGCAGGACGUCUAUCCAUCCCUUCUACCUGGCCAUCCCUCCUGAUGUAUCAAAACCCACUUCUAAGAUCCCAUUCGACACAUUUUCCACAUAACUAUGUUUGUCAUGGCAUCACACACACACACACACACAUAUCUAAAUGGCCCCUGCCUUCUUCUACCUGCCUCUCACAUGCAUAUACAUAUAUAUAUACAUACAUGCAUACAUAUGUGUAUAUAUAUAUAUACACAUAUGCACACACGCACACAGACAUGUAACAGUUUGCUGUAAAAGAACUGGUCCUUAUUUUGUGGCCCCCCCCCCUUUUGGAUUGUUGAGGAAAAGUUGCAA
rnacentral:lncRNA from 1 species